CCUACGGGUGGCAGCAGUGGGGAAUAUUGGGCAAUGGGCGCAAGCCUGACCCAGCAACGCCGCGUGAAGGAAGAAGGCUUUCGGGUUGUAAACUUCUUUUCUCAGGGACGAAGCAAGUGACGGUACCUGAGGAAUAAGCCACGGCUAACUACGUGCCAGCAGCCGCGGUAAUACGUAGGUGGCAAGCGUUAUCCGGAUUUACUGGGUGUAAGGGGCGUGUAGGCGGGGACGCAAGUCAGAUGUGAAACCCACGGGCUCAACCUGUGGCCUGCAUUUGAAACUGUGUGUCUGGAGGGCUGGAGAGGGAGACGGAAUUCCGAGUGUAGCGGGGAAAUGCGUAGAUAUUAGGAGGAACACCAGUGGCGAAGGCGGUCUGCUGGACAGCAACUGACGCUGAGGCGCGAAAGCGUGGGGAGCAAACAGGAUUAGAUACCCUAGUAGUC
rnacentral:rRNA from 1 species